GUCUAGAGGCUUCGUCAAUGGGGGAAACCCUGAACGAGCGACGCCGCGUGCGGGAUGAAGGCCUUCGGGUUGUAAACCGCUUUUGUUCGGGAAGAAUGCCCGUGUCGUGAACACGGGAGGGACGGUACCGGACGAAUAAGCCUCGGCUAACUCCGUGCCAGCAGCCGCGGUAAUACGGAGGAGGCAAGCGUUGUUCGGAAUUAUUGGGCGUAAAGCGCUCGUAGGCGGACCGGCAAGUCUGAUGUGAAAUCUCCACCGCUCACCGGGGAGAGGCCAUUGGAAACUGCCGGUCUGGAGUUUGGCAGAGGGUCGUGGAAUUCCGCAUGUAGCGGUGGAAUGCGUAGAUAUGCGGAAGAACACCUGUGGCGAAGGCGGCGACCUGGGCCAAAACUGACGCUGAGGAGCGAAAGCUAGGGGAGCAAACGGGAUUAGAUACCCUGGUAGUCC
rnacentral:rRNA from 1 species